rnacentral:rRNA from 2 species
GAUGCUACCUGGUUGAUCCUGCCAG